UGGCGUUGGCUUUUGCAUAUUGUGUGA
rnacentral:piRNA from 1 species